rnacentral:misc_RNA from 1 species
CAGCACCGGAGGAGGAGCUCGCCGCAGCAACAACAACAACAUCAGACAUGGUGCUAAAGACAGAACUUUGCCGUUUCAGCGGUGCCAAGAUAUAUCCUGGGAGGGGAAUUAGAUUUAUUCGUUCAGAUUCUCAGGUUUUCCUAUUUGUCAACUCAAAAUGCAAACACUACUUCCACAAUCGUUUGAAGCCUUCAAAACUUACAUGGACAGCUAUGUAUAGGAAGCAACACAAGAAGGAUAUCGCCCAAGAAGCUGCUAAGAAGAGGCGCCGCACAACAAAGAAGCCAUACUCCAGGUCCAUUGUAGGUGCAACCUUAGAGGUUAUCCAGAAGAAGAGAACUGAAAGGCCAGAAGUUCGAGAUGCUGCCAGGGAGGCUGCUCUUCGUGAAAUUAAGGAAAGGAUCAAGAAGACAAAGGAUGAAAAGAAGGCUAAGAAAGCAGAGGUUCAGGCCAAGUCUCAGAAAGCUGGAGGAAAGGGCAAUAUGUCCAAAGGAGGUGCAUCAAAAGGUCCUAAGCUUGGUGGUGGCGGAGGAAAACGUUAAGCUGUUGUUUAUGUUGUUUCCUUAUUAGCAAUAGAGUGCCUUGUUUGAAGAGACUGUAAGCGGAGACCUUCAUUUACAAGUAUCUCAUACAUCUGCAGACAAAUUUCUCGUUGACGGUUUUGCAUUUGGUUGCAAAUGCAGCUGUUGAUUCUCCACAUACUAUUGACUUCUUGUGGGUUCAUUCUCUAUUACAGAUGUAGCUUUUUGACUCCUAAACAAAAUAUUUUUGAAAUCUGUUUCUUCGAAACUCUUGCAGUAAUUUACCAUGCAGCAAUCUGUUU